rnacentral:rRNA from 1 species
AUUGAACGCUGGCGGCAGGCCUAACACAUGCAAGUCGAGCGGAUGAGUGGAGCUUGCUCCAUGAUUCAGCGGCGGACGGGUGAGUAAUGCCUAGGAAUCUGCCUGGUAGUGGGGGACAACGUUUCGAAAGGAACGCUAAUACCGCAUACGUCCUACGGGAGAAAGCAGGGGACCUUCGGGCCUUGCGUUAUCAGAUGAGCCUAGGUCGGAUUAGCUAGUAGGUGAGGUAAUGGCUCACCUAGGCGACGAUCCGUAACUGGUCUGAGAGGAUGAUCAGUCACACUGGAACUGAGACACGGUCCAGACUCCUACGGGAGGCAGCAGUGGGGAAUAUUGGACAAUGGGCGAAAGCCUGAUCCAGCCAUGCCGCGUGUGUGAAGAAGGCCUUAGGGUUGUAAAGCACUUUCAGUGGGGAGAAAGGUCAUUCACCUAAUACGUGAGUGAAUUGAUGUUACCCACAGAAGAAGCACCGGCUAACUCCG